rnacentral:rRNA from 1 species
CUUGAACGCUGGCGGCAGGCCUAACACAUGCAAGUCGCGCGGAGCGUCGGACGGGUGAGUAAUGCCUAGGAAUCUGCCUGGUGGUGGGGGCUCCCGUCCGGAAGCGGGCGCUAAUACCGACUGCUAUCAGAUUAGCCUAUGCAGGAUUAGCUAGUUGGUGGGGUAAAGGCCUACCAGGGUGACGAUCAGUAAGUGUUCUGAGAGGAUGAUCAGGCACACUGGAACUGAGACCCGGUCCAGACUCCGACGGUAGGCAGCAGGGGGGAAUAUUGGACAAUGGGCGAAAGCCUGAUCCAGACAUGCCGCGUGUGUGAAGAAGGUCUUCGGAGUGUAAAGCACUGUAAGUUGUGAGGCGUUACCAACAGAAUAAGCACCGGCUAACUUCGUGCCAGCAGCCGCGGUAAUAC